CAAGUGGAGUACUCCUUCUAAGCUAAAUAUCACCACGAGACCGAUAGCGAACAAGUACCGUGAGGGAAAGUUGAAAAGCACUCUGAAUAGAGAGUCAAAAAGUACGUGAAACUGCCUAGGGCUCAAGCCCGUUGAACUCGAUUAUCCGAGCGGGGACAUUCACCUGCGGUUGGCCGGGUCUGCCGGCACGCUGCAGGGCACUUGUCUACCGCGUCGCAAACGGACAUUGCGAUCCAUUACGAAACAGCUUUGGCGCGGUCGCAAGACGCGCAAGGUCGCCCGACAGUUGCCCCUUGGUGCUGGUUGCUUGCCCCACAGUAGCGACGCUCAGUUUCUGAAGGCCUGUGCCGCGAGGUGGGGCUUACUGCACGUGGUGUUUGCAGUCGGGCGCGUGAUGGAUUUCCGCGUACACCGUCGGCCUUCCCGUAUGGGGCCCGACGGACUGUCGAUCGGCAAUGAUAAAAUCGAGGUACCUCCGGGACCCGUCUUGAAACACGGACAGGAAAAUUCAACA
rnacentral:rRNA from 1 species